AUGAACGCUGGCGGCGUGCCUAAUACAUGCAAGUCGAGCGAACGGACGAGAAGCUUGCUUCUCUGAUGUUAGCGGCGGACGGGUGAGUAACACGUGGAUAACCUACCUAUAAGACUGGGAUAACUUCGGGAAACCGGAGCUAAUACCGGAUAAUAUUUUGAACCGCAUGGUUCAAAAGUGAAAGACGGUCUUGCUGUCACUUAUAGAUGGAUCCGCGCUGCAUUAGCUAGUUGGUGAGGUAACGGCUUACCAAGGCAACGAUGCAUAGCCGACCUGAGAGGGUGAUCGGCCACACUGGAACUGAGACACGGUCCAGACUCCUACGGGAGGCAGCAGUAGGGAAUCUUCCGCAAUGGGCGAAAGCCUGACGGAGCAACGCCGCGUGAGUGAUGAAGGUCUUCGGAUCGUAAAACUCUGUUAUUAGGGAAGAACAUAUGUGUAAGUAACUGUGCACAUCUUGACGGUACCUAAUCAGAAAGCCACGGCUAACUACGUG
rnacentral:rRNA from 1 species